rnacentral:rRNA from 1 species
AUUGAACGCUGGCGGCAGGCCUAACACAUGCAAGUCGAGCGUGCGGCGGACGGGUGCGUAAUGUAUGGGGACUGCCCGUAAGAGAGGGAUAAAUACUGGAAAAGGUAUGUAAAAACGAACCCUAUCGGAUAACCCAUAUGGGAUUGGCUGGUAGGUGAGGUAAUGGCUCACUUGUGCGACGAACCCUCGCUGGCAUGAGAGGAUGAUAAGCACCAGUGGGACUGAGACACGUCCCAGACUCCUACGGAGGCAGCAGUAGGGAAUAUUGCGCAAUGGGCGCAAGCCUGAUGGAGCCAUGCCGCGUGUAUGAAGAAGGCCCUAGGGUUGUAAAGUACUUUCAGUCGGGAGGCGUUACCGACAGAAGAAGCACCGGCUAACUCCGUGCCAGCAGCCGCGGUAAUUC